ACAGAGAUGUGAGGCUGGUGCUGGGACACUCUCCGCUGAAAACUAGCUGCCUGAAGCUGUCACUCCACUGUACCUGGAUCGCUUAGGGUAGCAUUUUCCUCUGUAUCCCCCCAAGUCCCCAUUCUCAGCAGCAUCAUGUCGCUCGCACACACUGCUGCAGAGUACAUGCUCUCUGAUGCCCUGCUGCCUGACCGCAGGGGCUCUCGGCUCAAAGGACUGCGCCUGGAACUGCCCCUGGAUAAGAUGGUCAAGUUCAUUACUGUGGGCUUUCCCUUGCUGCUGAUGUCUCUAGCUUUCGCCCAGGAGUUCUCAUCAGGUAAGCUGCUGACAAAUGGUAAGAGACCUGACUUCAUUUUACCCUACAACAGCUAUAAAGUGAGCUAGCUCCUAUCUUAAGAUUGCCUGGCUUUGGGCUGGACUGGAUUCCCAAGAGGCAGGUGGUGCGUAAGUAUGGGACAUCAGAAGAGCAGAAGCACCAAACCGUUACAAAAGUCAAUUUGGAAAUCUUACAAUAAAAAGUAACUAAUUUCUUCUGAGAGGCUUUAUCCAGCGGCCAAUGGAAAUAGAUGCAGAGAGAGACCCACAGCCAAACAUUAGGCGGGGCUCAGGGAGUGAAGGGAAAGACUGAGAGACCCAGAGGGGUCAAAAACAGAAGAUGACUACAGAGUCAACCUGGGCCUGUGGGGGAAUCACAGAGACUAAACCACCAAAAAAAGAGCAUGCAGGGGCUGGACCUAGUAGCAUCUCUACACAUUUGUACCAGAUGUGCAUCUUGGUCUUCAUUUGGGUCCCCUAACAAUUGGGGGAGGGACGCUGUCUCAAACUUUGUUGCCUGCCUUUGGAUCCCCUCCCCCUAGCUAGGCUUCCUUGUCUGGCCUCAGUGAAAGAGGAUGUGCCUAGUCCUGCUGGGAAUUGAUGUACCAGGAUGGGUUGGUACCCAUGGGGGUCUUCCUCUUCUCAGAGAAGGGGAGGGGUAGUAUUGGGGGGAGGGGAGAGUGAAACUGGGAGGAGAGGAGGGAAGGAGGUUGUAAUCAGGAUGUAAAGUGAAUUAACCUAUUUAUCAAAAUAAAGAGUAACU
rnacentral:lncRNA from 1 species